AACGAACGCUGGCGGCAUGCCUAACACAUGCAAGUCGAACGAUUGCCUUCGGGUGAUAGUGGCGCACGGGUGCGUAACGCGUGGGAAUCUGCCCUUAGGUUCGGAAUAACAGCUGGAAACGGCUGCUAAUACCGGAUGAUAUCGCGAGAUCAAAGAUUUAUCGCCUGAGGAUGAGCCCGCGUUGGAUUAGGUAGUUGGCGGGGUAAAGGCCUACCAAGCCGACGAUCCAUAGCUGGUCUGAGAGGAUGAUCAGCCACACUGGGACUGAGACACGGCCCAGACUCCUACGGGAGGCAGCAGUGGGGAAUAUUGGACAAUGGGCGCAAGCCUGAUCCAGCAAUGCCGCGUGAGUGAUGAAGGCCCUAGGGUUGUAAAGCUCUUUUACCCGGGAAGAUAAUGACUGUACCGGGAGAAUAAGCCCCGGCUAACUCCGU
rnacentral:rRNA from 1 species